rnacentral:rRNA from 1 species
AUUGAACGCUGGCGGCAUGCUUUACACAUGCAAGUCGAACGGUAACAGGGAGCUUGCUCCGCUGACGAGUGGCGAACGGGUGAGUAAUGCGUCGGAACGUGCCGAGUAGUGGGGGAUAACGCAUCGAAGGGUGUGCUAAUACCGCAUACGCACUGAGGUUGAAAGUGGGGGACCUUCGGGCCUCACGCCAUUCGAGCGGCCGACGUCUGAUUAGCUAGUUGGUGAGGUAAAGGCUCACCAAGGCGACGAUCAGUAGCGGGUCUGAGAGGAUGAUCCGCCACACUGGGACUGAGACACGGCCCAGACUCCUACGGGAGGCGGCAGUGGGGAAUUUUGGACAAUGGGCGCAAGCCUGAUCCAGCCAUGCCGCGUGUCUGAAGAAGGCCUUCGGGUUGUAGAGGACUUUUGUCCGGGAGCAAAUGCUGGUGGCUAACAUCCACCGGAGCUGAGAGUACCGGAAGAAUAAGCACCGGCUAACUACGUGCCAGCCGCCGCCGUAAAAC